rnacentral:rRNA from 1 species
GGAAUGGAACGUCGUAGAGGGUGANAAUCCCGUCUUUGACACGGACUACCAGGGCUAUGUGAUGCGCUCUCGACGAGUCGAGUUGUUUGGGAAUGCAGCUCAAAUUGGGUGGUAAAUUCCAUCUAAAGCUAAAUAUAGGCGAGAGACCGAUAGCGAACAAGUACCGUGAGGGAAAGAUGAAAAGAACUUUGGAAAGAGAGUUAAACAGUACGUGAAAUUGCUGAAAGGGAAACGCUUGAUGUCAGUCGCGUUCGCCGGGGAUCAGCCUUGCUUAACGGCUCGGCGUACUUCCUGGUGGACGGGUCAGCAUCAGUUUUGAUCGUCGGAAAAUGGCUUGAGGAAUGUGGCAUUCUUUCGGGAGUGUGUUAUAGACUUGAGUCGAAUACGAUGGUUGGGACUGAGGAACUCAGCACGACCUUAGGGUUCGGGACUUCGGUCUACGUUUGCGUGCUUAGGAUGCUGGCAUAAUGGCCUUAAGCGACCCGUCUUGAAACACGGACCAAGGAGUCUAACGUGCAUGCGAGUGUUUGGGUGUUCAAACCCGAGCGCGUAAUGAAAGUGAAAGUCGAGACCUCUGUCGUGGAGGGCACCGACGCCCGGACCGGAGCUUUUGCUAUGGAUCUGCGGUAGAGCAUGUAUGUUGGGACCCGAAAGAUGGUGAACUAUGCCUGAAUAGGGUGAAGCCAGAGGAAACUCUGGUGGAGGCUCGUAGCGAUUCUGACGUGC